AUCGACUUGAUGGACACAAAGCAAGGAUAAAAUAUGAAACAGCGACUUGGAAAAUUCAGUGUUCAUAUUUAGCUGAAGUGUAGUCGGAUCCUUCGCGCUGGUGAGCAAGCAUGCAUCAUCUGCAAAUAGUUUACUCAAAAGAUUCGAGCUGUUGGAAAGGUCGUUUAUGAAACAUAAGAACGCUAAUGGGCCAACUACUGAGCCCUGAACAAUUCCGCAGUGGAUGGGUAACAUUGGGGAUCUAUGGGGACCUAUUUCAACAAAUUGAUACCGGCCUGUCAGGUCCCUGAUUACACAGAGAACUUCUAAAGGUGAUGUUGACUCAAGAAAAAAAGAGUUCUGUAAAGGGACACCCAGGAAUUCAGCAUUUGAUUUGGUACUAUGUGGGAUUUCAUCUGCGAGUUUUUUCCCUAUAGAAGAGAAGAAUUUGUUGAAUUCAGUGGCCACAUAGAUGGGGUCUGUCACAGUAGUACCAUUUUCCAAUUUUAAUUCUGAGACGGUGGGGACCUCUCUUGUCUUAAUUUUUAUAAUCUCAUUGAUGGUUUGCCAUGUGCGUUUGACGUCUCCUCUGUUGUUGACUAGAAUAUUGUGGUAGUACUGCUGUUUCGAUUUCCUUAGCAAGUGUGUUAAAAUAUUCUUAUAUUUUUUGAAGUAAUGACGCUGCGAUGCGUUUCCGUUCAAAAACAUUAUUCUGAACAUGGCGUUUUUGUGUUUGAUGGACUUGCGAAUUCCCCUGGUUAUCCAGGGCUUGGAAUACAAUUUAUUUUCUCUGCGUGACAGAGGGCGUAAUGGUGCGUGCUUAUUUAUCAACCACUUAAAAUGGCUAAGAAAGAGGUCAAAUGAACUAUUAAAAUUUUCUUUGGAUAAUAUACCACUGGCAUAAUUUCUACACAUCAUCUCAACUUCCAAUCUGAAUGUGUCGGCAGAAAAAUUUGCCAUGUCACGCUUCAUGCGUGUUUUUGUUUGGACUUGAGCACUAGUUGUUGAUAAAGUACACAUAAUAGGAAAAUGAUCGGUGAGAUCACUAAUUAUAAUAAAUGAUGAUGAGCAUGA